GAUGAAGAACGUAGUGAAAUGCGAUACGUAAUGUGAAUUGCAGAUUUCAGUGAAUCAUCGAAUCUUUGAACGCACAUUGCGCCCGCUAGUAUUCUGGCGGGCAUGCCUGUUCGAGCGUCAUUUCAACCAUCAAGCCCUGUGCUUGUGUUGGAGCCCUGCGGCUGCCGCAGGCUCCCAAACCCAGUGGCGGGCUCGUCGUCGUACCGAGUGCAGUAAACAUACCAUGCUCAGGGCACGCGACGGGUGACCGGCCGUAAAACCCCCCCCCUUCUCAAGGUUGACCUCGGAUCAGGUAGGAAUACCCGCUGAACUUAAGCAUAUCAAUAAGCGGAGGA
rnacentral:misc_RNA from 1 species